CGUAGGUAACCUGCCUCUUAGCGGGGGAUAACUAUUGGAAACGAUAGCUAAUACCGCAUAAAAGUCGAUAUCGCAUGAUAUUGAUUUGAAAGGUGCAAUUGCAUCACUAAGAGAUGGACCUGCGUUGUAUUAGCUAGUUGGUGAGGUAACGGCUCACCAAGGCGACGAUACAUAGCCGACCUGAGAGGGUGAUCGGCCACACUGGGACUGAGACACGGCCCAG
rnacentral:rRNA from 1 species